UCACCUCAUUUAGGGGCUGGCCCUGGAAGGGAAGGUCUUCUCCGUGGAGAUCUUUUCUCUGGAGUUUUUGGUGAGCCCUGAUCCUCCGAAGGAGGCUCCUAGCAUUUUCCUGAAGAAGGAACACAUACAUGGGAGGAGGAACAAUGAACUGAAGAGCUUUGAGCUACUUAAAAAUAAGGUUCACUGCUGCCUCCCCCACCAUUCAUUGCUAAAGGAAGCUUUCAAGCCUUGGACCUUAGAAGACAGGAAACAUGAUCUGGUGUUACAUGCCUUAAGGGUUUUAACCCAGCCUGGACUGCAGGUCUCUGUGGAUGAAGGACUAUCCUUCGUGAAUGGGCCACGUCUGGCAAUGGAGUCCAGUGACACUGCUGAACAAGAGAGUCAUAGCAGUCUUUUGCUCCUGUUAGAUUUCAAAACACCGAACUGAGCUCAAGUUGAAGAUGAUUUUUAUAACUUAACAUUUUGCUCUCUGUGAUUGCUAGUCCUCCUUAUUACUUUCUUUAGCUUAUUUUCCCUUUGCUGUCUGAAUUGCUUCCUCAAAUUCCACCCACCUUUGGCUUUUCCACUCAGCUGGAAGUAUGCAUCUAAAUGUCGAUAGAAAAGAAAAAGCGAAUUCAAAAAGGCUUUUAUAAGAUGCUGUUGCUGCUAAGGUGAAUCAUCUAUAAUAUACCAAAACCACAGAGAUGCCCCAUCUAAACUAAAGCCAGUUUAACUAAUGUGCUGAUGGGAACGUUCUGUGCUUGUAAGCAAGUUCACAGACUUCCUGCCAGAAGGGGGUAAUUACACAAAGGCCUCUAAUAAGCUCUAGAGUUUGUUUCAUGGAGUAGAGGUUUGAAAGCUGAGACAAACGAUAGACUUUCUUCCAGAAAUAUAGUUUUGUGACAUUCAAAGCUGGAAAACAUUAACCCUAGUUUAUAAAUGGGGAACCAAAGUGUGGAGAUGAUUACCUGAUUUGCUAAAUAUUUCGGAGACAGUAUGGGAGACAACUUAUGUGUGACAACCCUUCCAAGGACAAAUGAUACCUCUAAUGUGUGUAGAGUUGCUUAGCUCCUUGUUGCCUAGCAGUGUCUUACACUUCUGUACUUACUGGCUUUAAAGAAGCACCAAAUCAAAAUGGUAGCCUUUUUUUAUGUAAAUACAAACACCAAAUGGAAGGAAAAGUUUAGCUGACCCUGGCAGUUUUAAUAGCUAUAUCAAUGUCAAGCAUUAUUUUUCUUUAUUCCACUUGUAUUCAAGAAAAGCAUAGAUUUACUACUUCUUUCCUUAAUGGAACAAGUCACUGAAACAUUUCAAGUGAUGGUGCUUUUCUAAGCAACCUAGAAUAAUUAACUGCACUAAAAUGCUUCCUGGCUUGUGUUACCACAAAAACUGUAAAAACAGUUUUACAAGCUCUUGUGCUUUACUGCAAAGCAAACACAUUAAAAACAUUUAAUGAGCAUUACUUCUUGCAUUUUCUUGUUAAUUUAUAUAAUUUGGUCCUAUGAUAGAAACAAGAAUUGCUUGUUUGGAGUGGCUUAAUAUGUUUCUUAGUAGUUAUGGUCAUGCUGUACUUGUAACAUGAGCCUAGAUAGGAACUCACGCUUUUAACAGUUCUAUGAUAUCAAGAGAAGUUAACUUUGUGUUUGCUUAAGAAUGUGGGAAAUAAACCAUUUGUGACAGAGUAGAAUGCAACAAGUUUAGUCUUUCUGAUCAUAAACUGGAAUUUGACAUUUCAGUGCUUCGCAGUCCUCACAUCCUGAGCCUAAGGGACCUUACAUCUCCACAGUGUCCUUUGGGUUCAGCAUGGAAGCCCCAGGCAAGCGGUGGCGAGGUGGCCACAUGGCAGUAACUGCUGUGUCGCACCAGCGGGUUCAAAGGCCCUCCUAGGUAAACAGCCUAGAAUGUUAAGGGCAUGACAUAGAUGACCCAAGAGAUCGUCUCCCUUCUCGUUUCCAGGCUGGAUGGUUCAGGGCAGUGCUGAUUCCAAUUACAGCUUGAGCACAGCUGCCAAAUUCCAAUGGCGCCCACAUCUUAGGCAGGGCUUUACCGCCUCUCUUCCUGUAUCACCAGGCUGACAGAGAAUAUAUGCAACUGAUUUGGCAGAUAUAUAGGUUCAAGAAUAACUUGGCUUCAUCUGCACGUAUUAUUGGCAAUUUUUCAAACCUUUCCAUUUGUGUGGAUCGCAAAGCCAGUCUCGCUUCAUUUGUAAAUGCAGUUUCUUGCCUAAGUCAUGCAUGAUGUAUGUUGUAAUAAAGUUAUUUCUCCAAUAAGUUUAGACCUGUUGGACAACCCUGUGCUGGACCUAAUCGUGCUUCCUUACAGCCACUGAGGAGUAACUCAUAAUUUGCAUAUGCUUGCCUUGUAUACUGCCUUACAAUGUGGCUUUUUAAUAAGUCUUUCAUAUUGUACUUUUUAUCAUCAAUAGUUUCUUUGUGUCAGUUAUCUUUGAUUGUGCUGUUCUGAUAUAUCUUGGAUACAAAUGAAAUUUACAGGCUCAGUAGGUAGGGCUUUAUGAAUAGUGCUUGAAGUUUUCUACUGUGGGAGAUUAUAAAUGCACUAAACAAAAAACUGUAUUUUUAUGUUUUUCAAUUUCUAGAAAAAUGGUGAAAUUGGAGAGACAAGAAAUGCUUACUGCUAAGAGAAAUGUGAAGAUAAG
ensembl:lncRNA